rnacentral:lncRNA from 1 species
UAUAUUUCAAAAUGCAGGUCCACAUAAUUAGGUCCUCAUACUAGUUCCUUGUAUGGAUUGAUAAUGAUAUAUCAAUAAUCUUUUAUUGAUGGACUUUUUUUCAGUUAUAAAUGGCUGUGUAAGGAUUGCCCUUUAUGUAUUAAUUGUCUGGUUAUUCCCCUAAUGUAUAUUUUACAGUUGAUGACAAACUAACCCCCUGGAACUUUGUAUCUGUUUACUCUGUCAUAAAUGCAAAAGAAUUCUGUUUUCCAUCCCUUUGUCAACCUGCUAAUACUUUAAUUUUAGCUGGCUAAAAUAAUUGGUAAAGGGAAUUUAAUAUUUUAACUUGCAUUCUUUUGAUUACUAAUGAGACUGGCUGUCUUUUCACAUAUUUACUGACCAUUUAUAUUUAUUCUUUUGUGAUUUGUCUAUUUCCUUUGCUCAUUUAUCUAUUAGGAUGUUCUUUUCCUGGUUGAUUUAACAUUACUCUUUGCAAUCCCUUAUCAAAUAUAUCAUGCAAAAAUGUUUGCUGGUUUUUGAUUUGCCUUUUAAUCUUUUUGACAGUUUUCUAGAUUUUUGUUGUUACUGUUUUUACCAUAUAUAAUCUUUAACUUUUAAAUCAUUGAGUCUGUCUUCAUGUUUUCCUUAUGGUUUUAGUUUUGUUAAUAUACUCAAAAGGGGCAUUCCCGUCAUGACUCGGUGGUAACGAGUCUGACGAAUAUCCAUGAGGAUGUGGGUUCAAUCCCUGGCCUCGCUCAGUGGGUUAAGUAUCCGGCAUUGCCAUGAGCUGUGCUUUAGGUUGCAGAUUCUCAGAUCCUUCAUUGCUGUGACUGUGGUGUAGGCCAGCAGCUACAGCUCUGAUUUGACCCCUAGCCUGGGAACUUCCAAAUGCCAUGGGUGUGGCCUUUAAAAAAAGAUAAAACCAAACACACACACACACACACACACACACUCUCUCUCUCUCUCUCUCUCUCUCUGUCUCUCAAAAGACCUCCCUUACUCCAAGUAUGUAAAAUUUUUUUCCAGUACUUUAUUUUUUAUUAUGAUUUUCUUUGGGAUUAAAUGCGAAGACUAAGGAAGGGUUACUUAUUUUGCAAGUACCUAGGCAGUUGUCCCAAGACCUUUUAUUGAAUAACCACUAUGUCCCUCCCUGAUUUGAAAAACUACCAUUUUCAUUUAGAAAUUCUCAAAUAUAUUAUUUGAGCUCAAUUCUGAACUCUGUAAUCUGUUUCUGAGCUCUCAUCCUAUGCCAGAUUCAUGCUGGAUGUGUUAUUUUGUAACACAGUUUUUAUACCUUGCAGUGCAAUUUUACCUACAUUGUUCUUCUUUGUCAAAUCUUCCUAGUUAUUUAAAAAUAUUUGUUUUUUAAAAUGUAUUUUAGAAUUUUUUUGCCAGGUUAUACAAAAAAUUUCCUUGUUGCAAUUUUGGUAGGGAUUAAAUUGCAUUUAUAGAUUAACUUUAGCAUUAUGGGUCAUUGCAAUUUUUUUUUUUCAAAUUGUGGUUGAAGGAAUUUAAUUUAGAAUCAAGUAAGAUUUAGCAUAUAUUGUGACCUAUCCUUCAGAAACACAUGAAAAAUUGGCAUGCUCUAUAUUAUGUAAUUCACUUAAUCACUCCAUUAAGGUUCUAGAUUUAUUUAUACAAGUAUUUACUGAGUUAGGCUUAUGGUAGGUGCUGUCCCAAGAGCUGGGGAUGGUGAACAAACGAUCCCUUGAUCCCUUUUCUCACAUUCUAGAGGGCAGAGAUAAUGCCUUCUACCAUAAGAUGCCAGUGGGGGUAAGGAUGGGAAAAAAACUGUGGCUUUAGACAACUCUUACCAAAAAAUCUUUGCUUCGAAACAAUGAGGGGAAACUGGGUGGUAUUUGGUCAGUGGGGCAAAAAAGGGUUUUGUUUUGUUUUCAGUAUGGGAGACACUGAAGCGUAUUUAUAUUCUGUAGAAUGAUCACCAGAAAGGGAGAAAGUAAAUAUACAGAGGAGAAAGGAUUCCAGUUACUUGAAGAUAAGACUAGGUGGAAGGUAUUUGACAAAUGGAGUAUUAGCUUUAGAUAGAAGGAACAAAUUAAUAAGAGGAAAUUCAGUGAAGUGUGCCCAGAUACACGUAAAUUAGUGUUUUUCUCAUUACUGAAAUUGAAGUAUUUUUGUAUGGGCAGCAAUUACAUUUAUAGUACUCUGCCUAUUAUUCAUAAAUUCUAUAAAAAAUGGAAUGAUGUAUUUUAGUGUUAAACUUGGAUGUCAUAACUUUGAAAAUGAAUUGUGUAAAGUGUUGACUCAGUACUUAGAACAGUAUCUGGCACAUACCUAACACUUAAUAUUUACUGGAUAAAUAUGCAAAUUAAAGAAUGAACUAUAGUUUUAUAUUGCUGGACAGAAUUUUCAUGCUGUACACGUGAUGUCAUAUCUCCUCUAUACGCCUGUUCUGAUUCUUAGUACUUUGAUAUCAGUACACAUAUUUAUUUAACCUUUCUAUGUGGUAUGGAAAAAAUGGCAGAGGGCUUGGAAACAGAAGGCCUGGAUUUUAUUGUUUCUCAGCUAAUUUAUAGUUACUUAAAGCUGAGGAAGUUAUUUAGCUUCUCUGGGUUUUAUUUUUUUCAUUGUCAUAUGAAGCAAUUGGAUAAUUGAGGCAGUGGUUUUCAACCCUUUGAAACUAUUGGGCAUUUUCUCCAAAUGGAAGAUUUUCUGGAGCCCCAAAUGUAAAGCAGAUAAUCUACCAUCCUCAGCUGAAAGUGGGGAUGUGAGAGAGGGGACCCUAUGUAUUCAGUAGCAGUAUCCUUCAUCCUGUUUUCACCCUUCCUACACCUUGUUAGGAGUCCCUGAAUGGAGUUUUUGGAGCAAAAUCUAGAAACCUAAUAAGAUUAUCUCUAAGGUCUUUAACAACUGCAUAACUGAUGAUGUACAUUUUGAUGUGAUUUUAAUAAUUUUGUGAAGAAUAUAUAUAUAGUAUUUAUUAUUAUGUCUUUCAUAAAUGGAGAAACUGAGGUGGAAUUUAUCACUUGCCCUACUCUUAUGGUUAGUAAAUGGAGGAACUGGGAUAAGAGCCCAUUUUCUAUUUCUGUUUGGGAGUCCUUUUGUCACUGUGAAAUGAUUUCCUCUAAUAGGCUUUAUGUUGCUUCAGUGGAGUCUCUGGUUAAACUAUUUGAAAGGAUUUCUGCCAGAACUCUUCUUGCAUACUUAUGUGACAGUUCACAUUCUCACAUAUGUCAUAAAACCACUUAAAUAUGUUUUUCUAAAUAUUAUUCUAUACCUGCAUUAGCUAAGUUACAGAACCUUUAAUCAAAUUGAUAGGAAAUAAUGAGCUGUGAGGAACCAUUAUAAUUUCUCAAGAGAAAUCUCUAAAAUGCAAAUUAAAUGAAUUGAACACUUAAUUUUGAAAUCAGUUUCAUUUUUGAAAUAAUAUUAACAUUGGUAAGAUGACACAUAGAGAUGCAUUUAAUGUGAAACAUUUUUGUGAAUUGUAUAACUUUAUUUUUGUUGAAGAUUGUAUAUUAAAUCAAAGUUACAUCCUCAUACUACUUCUUGAGAAGGAAGUUCUGAUUUGAAAUUGUAUCAUUUCCUUUAAAUGAAGGCAGUUCUUUUUUUAAAAAAAAUUUACUUAGAAUUUUUUUUAAUUUUUAAGAUUUUAUUUUUCCAUUAUAGUUGAUUUACAGUGUCCUGUCAAUUUCUACUGUAUAACAAAGUGACUCAAUAAUACGUAUAUGUAUCUAUUCUUUUUCUCAAAUUAUCCUCCAUCAUUUCCAUCACAUGUGACUAGAUAUAGUUCCCUGUGCUAUACAGCAGGAUCUCAUUGCUUAUCCACUCCAAAAACAAUAGUUUGCAUCCAUUAACCCCAAACUUCCAGUCCAUUCCACUCUUUCCCCCUCUCCCUUAGCUACUACAAGUCUGUUCUUCAAGUCCAUGAGUUUCUUUUCUGUGGAAAGGUUCAUUUGUGCCAUAUAUUAGAUUCCAGAUAUAAGUGAUAUCAUAUGGUAUUUGUCUUUUUAUUUCAGACUUACUUCACCUAGUAUGAGAGUCUCUAGGUCUCUUUUUUUUAGGAUGUGUUUGUGCCUAUAUGACUAUCAGGCUAAAGCAAGCAGGCAUAGGAAGGGGUUAACAUACUUGAAAAACAGGGCAACCACAAAUCAAAACCAAACAUUACAUUCAUAGAAACUAAAAGGAAAAGGAUGCAAGUAUAAAGUAAAAGGAAAUCAUUCAACCAAAAAAAAAAGAAAAGAACAAAGGAGAAACAUAGAAUCAACUGGAAAAUAAGGUUUAAAAUGGCAAUAAGUACAUAUUUAUCAAUAAUUACCUUAAAUGUCAAUGGACCGAAUGCUCCAAUCAAAACACAUAGAGUAGCAGAUUGGAUUAAAAAGCAAGAGCCUACAAUGUGCUGUCUAUAAGAGACUCAACUGAGGGCAAAGGAUACAUAUAAAUUGAAAGUGAGGGGAUGGGAAAAGAUAUUUCUUGCCAAUGGAAAAGACAGUAAAGCAGGAAUUGCAAUACUCAUAUCAGACAAAAUAGACUUUAAAAUGAAGACUGUAAAGAAAGAUGCUAUGUAAUGAUAAAAGGAUCCAUUCAAGAAGAGGAUAUUACAAUCGUCAAUAUGUAUGCCCCUAAUAUAGGAGUACCCAGAUACAUACAACAAAUACUAACAGGCAUAAAAGGAAAAAUUGAUGGAAAUACAAUAAUAGUAGGAGACUUUGGAGUUCCCUUUGUGGCACAGUGGAAACAAAAUUGACUAGUAACCAUGAGGUUGCGGGUUUAAUCCCUGGCCUCGCUCAGUGGGUUAAGGAUCUGGUGUUGCCAUGAGCUGUGUUGUAGGUCACUGACGUGGCUCAGAUCCUGUGUUGCUGUGGUUGUGGUGUAGGCUGGCAGCUGUAGUUCUAAUUUGACCCCUAGCCUGGGAACCUCCACAUGCUGCAGGUAUGGCCUUAAAAAGC